ncrna:unclassified sequences dinG RNA
AAUGAUACUUCCCCGAACCUGACAGCUCGGGGGCCGCGGUAGUAGGAGUAAUUCGCGGCGGAAGCGGCGCUCCGGCUGAAACAGGCCGCAGGGAGCUUUC